AUUGAAACCAAAAUAGAGGUAUAUCAUUGUUAAUGAUCUUAUUGAAUAAACCAUUCCAAUUAAA
rnacentral:tRNA from 1 species